rnacentral:rRNA from 1 species
ACGGGGCGCAGCAGGCGCGAAACCUUUACAAUGCGGGCAACCGUGAUAAGGGAACCUCGAGUGCCUGUAAACGCAGGCUGUUCAGGUGUUUAAAACGCACCUGGAGAAAGGGCCGGGCAAGACCGGUGCCAGCCGCCGCGGUAAUACCGGCGGCUCGAGUGGUGGCCGCUUUUAUUGGGCUUAAAGCGUUCGUAGCUGGGUUGUUAAGUCUCUUGGGAAAUCUGGCGGCUUAACCGUCAGGCGUCUAAGGGAUACUGGCAAUCUUGGAACUGGGAGAGGUGAGGGGUACUUCGGGGGUAGGGGUGAAAUCCUGUAAUCCCCGAGGGACCACCUGUGGCGAAGGCGCCUCACCAGAACGGCUUCGACAGUGAGGGACGAAAGCUGGGGGAGCAAACCGGAUUAGAUACCCGGGUAGUCCCAGCCGUAAACGAUGCGCGUUAGGUGUAUCGGUGACCACGAGUUUCCGAGGUGCCGAAGGGAAACCGUGAAACGCGCCGCCUGGGAAGUACGGUCGCAAGGCUGAAACUUAAAGGAAUUGGCGGGGGAGCACA